AGUGAACGCUGGCGGUAGGCCUAACACAUGCGAGUCGAACGGCAGCACAGUAAGAGCUUGCUCUUACGGGUGGCGAGUGGCGGACGGGUGAGGAAUACAUCGGAAUCUACUUUUUCGUGGGGGAUAACGUAGGGAAACUUACGCUAAUACGCCAUACGACCUACGGGUGAAAGCAGGGGAUCUUCGGACCUUGCGCGAUUGAAUGAGCCGAUGUCGGAUUAGCUAGUUGGCGGGGUAAAGGCCCACCAAGGCGACGAUCCGUAGCUGGUCUGAGAGGAUGAUCAGCCACACUGGAACUGAGACACGGUCCAGACUCCUACGGGAGGCAGCAGUGGGGAAUAUUGGACAAUGGGCGCAAGCCUGAUCCAGCCAUACCGCGUGGGUGAAGAAGGCCUUCGGGUUGUAAAGCCCUUUUGUUGGGAAAGAAAAGCAGCAGGUUAAUACCCCGCUGUUCUGACGGUACCCAAAGAAUAAGCACCGGCUAACUUCGUG
rnacentral:rRNA from 1 species